UACGUAGGGUGCGAGCGUUGUCCGGAAUUAUUGGGCGUAAAGAGCUCGUAGGCGGCUUGUUGCGUCGGAUGUGAAAGCCCGGGGCUUAACUCCGGGUCUGCAUUCGAUACGGGCAGGCUAGAGUUCGGUAGGGGAGAUCGGAAUUCCUGGUGUAGCGGUGAAAUGCGCAGAUAUCAGGAGGAACACCGGUGGCGAAGGCGGCUCUCUGGACCGAGACUGACGCUGAGGCGCGAAAGCGUGGGGAGCAAACAGG
rnacentral:rRNA from 1 species